rnacentral:rRNA from 1 species
AACGAACGCUGGCGGCAGGCUUAACACAUGCAAGUCGAACGCCCCGCAAGGGGAGUGGCAGACGGGUGAGUAACGCGUGGGAACAUACCCUUAUCUUCGGAACAACUCCGGGAAACUGGAGCUAAUACCGAAUGUGCCCUUAGGGGGAAAGAUGUAUCGGAUAAGGAUUGGCCCGCGUUGGAUUAGCUAGUUGGUGGGGUAAAGGCCUACCAAGGCGACGAUCCAUAGCUGGUCUGAGAGGAUGAUCAGCCACAUUGGGACUGAGACACGGCCCAAACUCCUCCGGGAGGCAGCAGUGGGGAAUAUUGGACAAUGGGCGCAAGCCUGAUCCAGCCAUGCCGCGGGAGUGAUGAAGGCCUUAGGGUUGUAAAGCUCUUUCACCGGAGAAGAUAAUGACGGUAUCCGGAGAAGAAGCCCCGGCUAACUUCGUGCCAGCCGCCGCCGUAACAC